CGGAGGGGCGAGCGUUAUUCGGAAUUAUUGGGCGUAAAGGGCGCGUAGGCGGCUAGACAAGUCAAAGGUGAAAUCCCUCGGCUCAACUGAGGAACUGCCUUUGAAACUGUCUGGCUCGAGGCCGGGAGGGGGUAGCGGAAUUCCCAGUGUAGCGGUGAAAUGCGUAGAUAUUGGGAGGAACACCAGUGGCGAAGGCGGCUACCUGGACCGGUACUGACGCUGAUGCGCGAAAGCGUGGGUAGCAAACAGGAUUAGAUACCCUGGUAGUCCACGCUGUAAACGAUGGGUGCUCGGUGUCGCGGGUAUCGACCCCUGCGGUGCCUUAGCUAACGCGUUAAGCACCCCGCCUGGGGAGUACGGUCGCAAGGCUG
rnacentral:rRNA from 1 species